ensembl:antisense
AUCAUAAUCUACAGAAGAGAGUGCAGCCUUGUCUUGCUUCUGGCCAUAAAUGGAAAGCAUUUUCACAGAUGAAUCUGUCUUUUGUGUAUCCCUUUAGCAAUAUGAAGGGAGAAUAUGGCAUUGGCAGAGAGAUGAGAUUUUCAAGAUCUCAGCACUCAGAAAUGAAAAUGUGUGUUAGUGUGGUAAACCACUGGAAAAGGAAUCUUCCCAUGAUGUCAGACUGACAAAGUAGGAAAAAAAUUACAUUAACUAAGUAUUGAAAUGCAUUGAUGAUUUUUAAGACCUGGCAUUGAGACAUGUCAACUCCUGGUAGUACCCCAUUUGAUUUAGAAGGAAAUGAUGAGCAUCAAAAUCCUUCAUAUGGAGUUGCUUCAAUUUUGGCAAGGCAAAGAAAAUGCUCGUACUUCAUCUACAGAGAGAAUGCUGUCCAGAAAGGACAAAUGGAUGCAGAUAAGUCAACUGCCGAGUUCUGCCUAGACAGGGUAAACAAGUCCUUCAUAAUUUCUGAUUCACAUAAGGUCUGUCAGAUAUUCUGGGCCAGAAGGCUGAAGAUAGAUGCUUCAGAGUUCUAGAGAAUAUUGGGAAAUGUCUAGCCUUGGCGAGCUUCCAUUUAGCAGAAAUUGUUCCUAGCCCACAUGUCUGGAUCAGCCCCGAGAAGCUUCUAGAAGGUGGAUAACUGGGACCACUUUUUAAAAAGUGGCCAACGUGACAAGUGUGCACAAACAAACCUCCAAACAAGAUGGUGAGACUGGAAGCCUCUUGCUUCAAGAAGAAAAACACAGAAAAUGCAGAGUCACGGGCCUUGAACAGGUAGGAUGAUUACUGACUUCUGAGAACAAAGAAUAUGAGAAAAGACUGUGGAGGUAAAAUCCACAGAGAAGAGGCAUUGGGAUAAAUAAAUGACAUUACUUAUGCCAUCUACUUCACUUUUAAAGUAGGAAACAAAACGUUAUUCUGAAAUACUACAUACAGUCAUACAGUGAGGACAGACGAGCGUCUUAGGCACCAAAAUGAGGCAGUGAGCUCGGCCACCUUGAGAAAACACUGAUCUCAUCAGGUCUGGAAGGCUCAUCAUGGUUCCAUGGAUCAAAGGAUGCUCUGGACCCGUACAAUUGAUCACAGGAAUCUACUGUCUCCUGUUCCCGUCUUGCCUUUAUGCUGAUUAUAGGGAGGUACUCCAGGGUUUGAACACAUUGAAAGACCAGCACACUCUUUAAUUAUAUACAUAAUAAUAUUAUGUAGCAAUUUUCAUCCAGUUAAAAUAUUCUUUACUUGAGGAAGUCUUCUUAAGGAUUAGGAGGCUUUAAGUGGAAACAUUGCUUCCAGAAAUGUUGAAGAGACUUAGGAAGCAAACUCAGAAGUCUUAAGAAGCUCCUGAAUCUGACAAGGCUCCGGUUCCCCCUGCUUAUAGCAACCUGUGGAUCCUGAGAGAGGAAGCGAGGCCGGGAGGCUGGAGCUAAAGAGACUGAAGACAGCGAUUGAGCAAGGCACGAACAGACUCUCUGGAGGUGGCUUCAGUGAGACAGCUCCUUUAAUGGAAGGAACAAAGGCUUUGAGGGCCACAUUCACAUCUGGGAAGUACUCUGCCAGCAGCAUGAAAGCAGCUUUUGGAUAGAGAAUUAUUAAAAGGUUGAUGACCCAGGACUGGCAAUCCUGGGGUGGUCUUGACUGACCAUUGCACUCCAUCAAGGGUUAUGAAACACAUAUCAUGUGGGGGAGCAAGCGUGGAUCUCUGAUGGUGAAAAUAACAUCCUCUCUCUAGCUGAUUGUGCGAAUCACACCAUCCCUCCAGCCAACUGUGCAAACCCUGACUCUUCCCUAUUGACCGAGGAAAUCACAUCAUCUCUCUAAAAUUAGUCUUCCUUUCUGAAAAGCAAGCCUAUGCGGCGGUCCUGUUCUGAUUUUCUGACCCUGUGGGUGACUGUGUUAGGGUAGCUUGCCUGUGUUUCUUUCUUUAUCAGUCUUUCAUUACUGUGUACUGUCAGCAGCGACAAUUUCCUCAAAGUUUAAAAUAGCAAAAGUGUACAAAGGUGGAAAAAAAAAAUUACAACGCUCUAUCCUGCCCUCUAAGAAGCCCCGUGGUGUGACUUUCCCAGGCACUUCAGAUCUCCUGGAGACCUGUAAUGUGUCCCCGUACCUUUACCUUCUUUGGAUAGUAGAAACUCACAUCUAUGAUAUUUCAAGAGGAGAUGGCAGACAUCUGUGAGAUUUUUAGUGUUUCUAGCGUUGCCCUUGUCAUUUAAUGGCUCCUUACCAAGUGUGGCGCUCAGCGUGGUGGGGCUGACUUCAGCUCCAGAGAUGUCUGAUCUCUUGCCUUCACGCUGAAUGACUAUUCAGUGUCUCCGGGGCACUGUGUUUUUCCGUCGCUAGCCUAGUUCCUCAGUGCCACCCUGGCUUUUCUCUAAAGUGCUGCCACCACCCCGCAGUGCUCACGGAACACUGUCAACAACCUCUCUUGUGUUUACACAGCCACCCCUCCUAUCCCGACUGCCUGCAGCAAAAAGAAAGAAAUCGCGCCUCCAUCUUCCUCCCUCCCAGCUGUCAGUACUGGGCUAAAAACAAAACCCUUCAGCUUACUAAACAAACAAAACUUGCUGUCUUCAGAACGUGUCCCGGCAUGUGGUCAUACAUUUCUGUCAGGUCCUUUAAGGACACAGGUCUUUCAAAACCAUUUCAAUGUAUACUACAAGAGAGAUGAUUAUGUUUCACCCCAAGGUAGGAAGAAUGGUUGGUCCUGCUGCUUGGCUGGCUGUAUCUUCUGAGGUGCAUAAUUGGCUGCGCUGGUUCACAGGAAUAAAUUUCAUCUUAAAAUCUGU